AUCGAUGAAGAACGCAGCGAAAUGCGAUAAGUAAUGUGAAUUGCAGAAUUCAGUGAAUCAUCGAAUCUUUGAACGCACAUUGCGCCCGCCAGCAUUCUGGCGGGCAUGCCUGUUCGAGCGUCAUUUCAACCCUCGAGCCCGACUUCCUUGCGGAGGACGGCUCGGCGUUGGGGGACGGCACACUCCCCCCGGCUUGCCGGGGACGCCGCCCCCGAAAUUCAGUGGCGGCCCUCGGAGGCGACCUCUGCGUAGUAACUCAACCUCGCAAAGGAAAGCUCCGAGCGGCCACGCCGUGAAACCCCAACUCUUCAAGGUUGACCUCGAAUCAGGUAGGACUACCCGCUGAACUUAAGCAUAUCAAUAAGCGGAGGAAAAGAAACCAACAGGGAUUGCCCCAGUAACGGCGAGUGAAGCGGCAACAGCUCAAAUUUGAAAUCUGGCCCCUAGGGUCCGAGUUGUAAUUUGCAGAGGAUGCUUUUGGCGAGGUGCCUUCCGAGUUCCCUGGAACGGGACGCCAUAGAGGGUGAGAGCCCCGUCUGGUCGGACACCGAGCCUCUGUAAAGCUCCUUCGACGAGUCGAGUAGUUUGGGAAUGCUGCUCUAAAUGGGAGGUAUAUGUCUUCUAAAGCUAAAUAUUGGCCAGAGACCGAUAGCGCACAAGUAGAGUGAUCGAAAGAUGAAAAGCACUUUGAAAAGAGGGUUAAAAAGUACGUGAAAUUGUUGAAAGGGAAGCGCCUAUGACCAGACUUGGGCCCGGUGAAUCAUCCAGCGUUCUCGCUGGUGCACUUUGCCGGGCACAGGCCAGCAUCAGUUUGGCUUGGGGGAAAAAGGCUUUGGGAAUGUAGCUCCUCGGAGUGUUAUAGACCUUUGCAUAAUACCCUGGGCCGGACUGAGGACCGCGCAUCUGCAAGGAUGCUGGCGUAAUGGUCAUCAGCGACCCGUCUUGAAACACGG
rnacentral:rRNA from 1 species